GCCAGCGUGUCGUCGGCCAACUUCCGGACGACGCGCGCCUACUUCUACUGGGUGGCCCGGGAGCAGGGCUCCUUCGAGUGGUUCCGCGGCGUCAUGGACGAGGUGGCCGAGACGGACAGGAAGGGCGUCAUCGAGCUCCACAACUUGCACCAGCGUCUACGAGGAAGGCGACGCCCGGUCCGCCCUCAUCGCCAUGCUCCAGUCCCUCAACCACGCCAAGGACGGCGUCGACGUCGUCUCCGGCACCCGCGUCAAGACCCACUUCGCCCGCCCCAACUGGCGCAACGUCUACAAGCGCAUCGCCCUCAACCACCGCGACCAACGCGUCGGUCAGUACCACCAAACUCACUCACUCCACUGCCCCCCAAUUAUAACUCACUCCUCCCGUUUUCCAUUUUUCGCCACCCAUAUUUUGAAACCCAUAUUGGAGGAUUACGGUGAAAAGUCAAUAGCGGUUUAUGCCUGCACGCUAGCUCCUCUCCUCUGGACUGGAAUAUCGCGGUGACAGUUUUCUCUAUCAGGAAAGGUAGCUUUCAGAGUGGGAAUGGGAAGGAAGGCAAGGAAAAGAAAGAGACCUCCUGACCUUCAAGAAGCAAAAGAAACAAUGCUAAACAAAUGGUAUUGGAGUUCCACCGAGUAAAGAAAAAGGCAAAGGAAUGCCGCACCGCGUACAGGCCAGAUAAUGCAUUAUGCAACCUUGAUGAUGAUGCUGAAUCAUAGAGAAUUGCUGUUGAUUGACGAACUUCUCGCGUCAUAUCAGACAUAAGAUUGCACGAUCGGGGUGUUCUUGUGCAGCACUAGUGGGAUAGCAACAACACACCGUAGAGAAAAUGUACAAGUACCAGGUUCCUUAUGGCUUAGGAGAACACCAGACAUAGACCGAAACAAAUACUCCAAAUCCACGUCACUUAUUUCGGGACGGAGGGAGUACCAUAAUAUUUCAAGGGGUGUCCAGUUGAUCGCUAAACUUGGGCAAACUUGUUUAUACCAAAAUUCUGGCAGCCAUGGUGAAACUGGUGCUAUGGAUAGUCAAAAGGGCGGUUCUCAUAAUUCAGAGUGAUAAAUCAAGGCAGUGUCGGCUGAGGAUGCAGAAUUGGUUGCCAAAUCUCCUAACUUGCUGCCAUGUGAGGUAUAAUUUUGUACUUCCUUCCAUUUGAUAUGAUUUUUUUCAAACACCCUUUGGUUGCCUCAACUCACCAGAGCGUCGUGGCAAUCUAGAUUUAAGAACAGAGGGAGUUUAUCUCUUCUUCUAUCUAUUAUAUAUAAUAAAAAAAUAUAGGAAAAUUAUAAUAUCAUGUGUGUUUCUGAGGAGAUGAAUUGCUAUUUGGUUAAUCAGGUAAUGUGUAUACUAUGCAUGAAAAUUUUAGAAUUUGUAUUUGUAUGCAUUCUGUAACAGAAUCAAUUUGGUAACGGCACAUUCUUUCCCUUUGCCAACACAUUCAUCUAACCAGUUAUUGUCUUUAUACAUUGGUCUAAAAUUUCAGAUAUCGCCAAAGCAUACUCGCAAGGGCUUACAGUUCACAAAGAAAUGGAGGUAUUCUAAAAGGUAACGAGUAAGAAAAUAAUCUGAAACAACUGUUAGAACUUAGAAGACCUAGUUCUCCACAUCAUUCCAAGUUUACUAUAAUAUGCAAGUUAAGACUAUCUUAUCCAUUGUGCACCUCCAAUAGCUAUAUGGUUAUUGA